rnacentral:pre_miRNA from 1 species
GGGUAUUCUCAGGUGAUUAACACGUGAUAAGAAGUUGUUAUUGCUUGAGAAUACACGU